rnacentral:rRNA from 1 species
UACAGAGGGUGCAAGCGUUAAUCGGAAUUACUGGGCGUAAAGCGUGCGUAGACGGUUACAUAAGUCGGGUGUGAAAGCCCCGGGCUCAACCUGGGAAUUGCAUUCGAGACUGCGUAGCUAGGGUGCGGAAGAGGGAAGCGGAAUUUCCGGUGUAGCGGUGAAAUGCGUAGAUAUCGGAAGGAACACCAGUGGCGAAAGCGGCUUCCUGGUCCAGCACCGACGUCAGCACGAAAGCGUGGGGAGCGAACAG